GAUGAACGCUGGCGGCGUGCCUAAUACAUGCAAGUCGAGCGAACAGACGAGGAGCUUGCUCCUCUGACGUUAGCGGCGGACGGGUGAGUAACACGUGGAUAACCUACCUAUAAGACUGGGAUAACUUCGGGAAACCGGAGCUAAUACCGGAUAAUAUAUUGAACCGCAUGGUUCAAUAGUGAAAGACGGUUUUGCUGUCACUUAUAGAUGGAUCCGCGCCGCAUUAGCUAGUUGGUAAGGUAACGGCUUACCAAGGCAACGAUGCGUAGCCGACCUGAGAGGGUGGUCGGCCACACUGGAACGGAGACACGGUCCAGACUCCUACGGGAGGCAGCAGUAGGGAAUCUGCCGCAAUGGGCGAAAGCCUGACGGAGCAACGCCGCGUGAGUGAUGAAGGUCUUCGGAUCGUAAAACUCUGUUAUUAGGGAAGAACAAAUGUGUAAGUAACUAUGCACGUCUUGACGGUACCUAAUCAGAAAGCCACGGCUAACUACGUG
rnacentral:rRNA from 1 species